rnacentral:rRNA from 1 species
CACGUAGGGCGCAAGCGUUGUCCGGAAUUAUUGGGCGUAAAGAGCUCGUAGGCGGUCUGUUGCGUCCGCUGUGAAAACUCGGGGCUUAACCCCGAGCCUGCAGUGGAUACGGGCAGACUAGAGGUAGGUAGGGGAGAAUGGAAUUCCCGGUGUAGCAGUGAAAUGCGUAGAUAUCAAGCGGAACACCAGUGGCGAAGGCGAGUCCCUGGACAACUCCUGACACUGAGGCACGAAAGCUAGGGGAGCAAACAGG